ensembl:lncRNA
CUCUCAUACCACACAGGCACAGAUCUGCAGAAAGGCCCACGAGUUGAACUAGAUCUUCCUUUCUGUCUUUCCAAGCCAAACAAGGAAAUGCCACUCAUUGGGCCUGAUGAAAGGGCCACAGGCUGGGUGGGAAGCUUUCUUGCUGAUGUGUCUGAUCUGAGAGCCAGCAUGACAGAGGAACUUUCCUGGGCCAGGCACUCUUUUGAGCCUCUUACAGACCGCCAGUCUCCUCUGUCUAUGGGAUUCUUCAGGCAAGAACACUGGAAUGGGUAGCCAUGCCGUCCUCCAGGGGAUCUUCCUGACCCAGGGAUUGAACCCAAGUCUUUUACGUUUCCUGUGUUGGCAGCUGGGUGCUUUACCCCUAGCAUCACCUGGAAAACCCCCACUGAACAUGAGAUGAUAUGAAAGAAGGUGCUGGGCCAUCCGCCAGAAGAACUCCACCAGUCAAUGC